UACAUCCUCAACCCUUCGUUGUGAGUCUGUAAACUUACCGCUGAGUCGACGGGUGACGAGAUUUUAGCAAGACUAAGCAAAUACUGACUUUGUUCGUGUUCGGAUAUUUGUGUUUUUUCCAAGUGAAAUCAACGUUAAGACUAGGCUGGAGCUCAGCGGUGUGUCUACCUUUUGAUAAAGUCGUAAGGUGAAACAUUGAGAACAUAAAGAAUUUUCACCGGAUACUGGUUGUUCUCUUUAUUAAAUAAGAGCUGCCAGUGAAAUCCGAUAUGUAGGGGAGGAACGAGAUAAUUUUAAAUACUUUAAAAUCAGGUCAGUGAGUAGAAAUGGAUAAAAAAAACCCGAGCUCUUUAGAAAGGUGGACCUUUCGUCUUGAGGGGCCCCUGAGCCAACGUGUUUUUCUAAGAUCAUGAAGGCCAGUGAGUAGAUGGAGUAACUGGAAACUGUAGCAGUUAUACUCUUUCAACUCGAAAUGUAACAUCAUCUUUCACCCAGAUAUUUCAAAGAAAUAUUUCUAGUCACUUAUCAGUCGUCACGAGGUGUGAAGAACCGGAAAUUAAGAGAAAAUAUUUACGUAUCUCUUUUGAAGUCUCGCCUAAAGCUACCUCAAAAAGAUAUGUGAAACAUAAAAAGAACAUUAUAUAAUAUACGUUUAAAGUUUCUCUUAUACAUGGUGGCUUUAAUGACGAUUUGUUUGUUUGUUUUGAAUUUCGCACAAAGCUACACGAGGGUUAUCUGCGCUAGCCGUCCAUAAUUUAGCAGUGUAAGACUAGAGGGAAGGCAGCUAGUCAUCACCACCAACCGCCAA